rnacentral:tRNA from 14 species
CUAUGGUGUAAUGGCCGAGCACACUGGUCUUUGAAACCAGAAGACUCAGUUCGAAUCUGA